rnacentral:misc_RNA from 1 species
GACGUAGGGCGCAAGCGUUGUCCGGAUUUAUUGGGCGUAAAGGGCUCGUAGGCGGUCUGCUGCGUCUUCCGUGAAAACCUGUGGCUUAACUACAGGCUUGCGGUGGAUACGGGUGGGCUGGAGUGCGGUAGGGGAGACUGGAAUUCCUGGUGUAGCGGUGAAAUGCGCAGAUAUCAGGAGGAACACCGGUGGCGAAGGCGGGUCUCUGGGCCGUUACUGACGCUGAGGAGCGAAAGCGUGGGGAGCGAACAGG